GUCCAAACUUGCCACUGGCACCAUUUAAAAAAAACAGUCCUGGUCUUGCAUGAGUUACGACUUUGCUCCUUUUGCUGUCAUCAUGACUGGUUGUGUGGCUUCUGGGGCUUUGCUUCUUGUUGCGAUGGCAGCCCUCACUCUCUGCCACCCAUACGGGCAAGGUAAACAAUGACGGUGAUUCUUUGGCUUUAUUGCUAAGCUGUUGGCCUCAGGUCUUUCCCGAGCAGUCACUUCAGACCCGGAACUCUGUUGCAAGAACCGCCAAAGCAAAAGUUCACACCUCAUCUGUCCGUUUCUGGGGCAAGGACUCCAAUUGUGAAAGAGGAUGCCACUCACGUUGCCAAAGUUUGGGCACAUGGUAAUGAACAGCAGGUCUUAAGUGGUGCUGAAAACGUUCCCGACGCAGUGGACAUGGAUGAACAACUUGACGCGUCGGGUGGUGUUGCAGUCCCACAAUUGCCGGUCUCUGGCGGUCCUGACAUGUCUGGUUUUGGCCCAAUUCAUCCCCAACCUGCCCCGUACCCACAACUACAUUUCCAGCCCGGUGAGCUGUUGUGCCUGGAGAAAACCUUUGAGCAUGGGGACUACGAAUCAGAGCGCGAAGCCCAUGGCAUCCCACAACAACCUCGUCCUCAACCCCUGCCAGUUCCUUUCGGUUCAACACCCCAAAGUGUAGCGCGUUUCCCUCCUGGCUUUGUCCCGCCAUACGUGAGCGUACCUUACGUUCCCUAUCCUUUCGCCUACUUUUUCUUGACCGGCCGGUAUCCUCCAGGCGCAGCAACUCACUUCAGCAGCAACUUUGAGCACGGUACAAACUAUAACCAGGACCUUGACUAUGAGAAAGAUGAGCCCAUAUGGCCCUGGGUGGACGCUGCUGGACCGCCCCAAAACACUGAACAGGCCGUUAGUCAAGGGAGCGUCUUGAAUGACGGAUUAGAGUCAGGUUCUAGCUACUACAGUCCUCUCAACCAGCCCGAUGAAGUAAAAGUCCCUCAUUACUACAGUCCUCUCAACCACCCCGAUCAAGUCAAAAUAUCUCCUCGCUACUUCAGGAGCCGGGUUGAAUACUAGGUGCCUUGGAAUGGUCUUUUGAAAUUGAAUAAAUGGAGAAAUCUCA